ACUGCUGCCUUAAUAGUCUAUGGUCACUGCUUAGUGCUGCUGCUUCUAUCCUAGUAUAAGUUAAAUGUUCCUCAGCUUAUUACUGUCUGCUGUGCAUAGUAUUAAGUAAGUGGUAGCUUUGUUUUUCACUUACAUAUCCACAGCACAACGGUACUGCUCUGAGUGCUCCCCCGACUCCUCCUCUGAUCAGCAACUGUCAGGCAGGCUCCGCCCCUCUACUGCUUAUUGGGCCUCUGCUUCUGCUCUGCCUCUAGAGGGAAGGGUAAGCUAAUUCUGCCGUUGGCGUCAGUGUUGCCAUGGCGCCAUGCCAUCACCUCCGAUGGAUCCAGCCUUGCACCGCCGCUCACCCGAACAUCACCGUCGGCACAACACCACAGCGGCGGCUCCUGGCGCGAUCUCCGCCUCUCCACCUGACACCUCAGCGAUAACAAGGAGUGCUAACCUAUUGGAGGACUCAUUCAAGUGAAACGGGUAACUUUGCUACUAAGACUUCCCUAGGAACCAGGCUUUUCUUCAAACAUUUAUUCCCAGCAAUUCAAGAAGUUUUUUAGUAAAUAUAGCAGUGUUGCUCUUUGCCCUACCUCAAGUUCGGUGUAUUCAAUGUUAUCUGUUGCAACAGUAAUUUUUAUGUAUGAUAUACAUUUUUGAAUGAAUAUUUAUCUGUAUAUUAAACUUUGAAUGUACUUAUUUGAAA